rnacentral:lncRNA from 1 species
CAGACAGAGCUUUCUGGAUGGGGUCGCUGGGCCCGUGCAUAUAGGGACCCUGCUGAGUGUUCUGCCCCCUCCCCCCCCAACCCCAUCUCUGUCUCAUUUCUGUCUCUUGACUCUAGCCCAAAGCGACCCAGGGUCUGCUAGCCUGACCCUGUCCAGGAUGCCAGCCCACGGAAUGGUGCCGCCCACAUCCAGGGUGGUUCCUCCGUCUUUCGUUGAACCUUUCUGGAAACACUCUUGCCAACACCCUCAGAGACGCAUCUCCGUCCGAGGUGAUCCCAAAUCCAGUUCCUAGGUUUGAGCUCAGGUCCUGUGCUUGUACAAGAAUCACUUUACUGACUGAAGUGUUACUCUGCCCAGUUACUGAGUUCUUACAAGAAAAACUAGGGCACUGAACAAGAACUGGACUCUGAAACUUGGAAUGGGCACAUCUGAAUGGGCUGAGGUCGCUGUCCUCUGCAGGGUGCUGCAGCACCCGGUCCAGGUCCCUGAGUGCCCUGUCAUACUCCUGCAGCUGGGUCAAGCAGGCCACCCGGAGACGCAGAUGCGGUCUGUGAAGGGGACACAGGGAAAAAGAGCGCAGAGUGAAGUCUGUGGACAUAGUCAGCCUCUGCUGGUGUCUGGUCCUCGCCCUGUGCAGAAGACACCCACACUCUGGAGGCCUGGUCAUGGGUAGGGGUAAGGGACUGGUUUCCUCCUGUGACUGAGGGCUGCGGCUGGCCCAGCAUGUCCACCUCCCCAUAGUCCCUGAAGGCAACGUUGUUUCCCGAGCAGAGGCAGGUUUGCACCCGAAGUUGCUAAGCAUCUUCAUCUCCCCUCCCUGAUCCUGUUUCUCUAGGCCACUAUGAAGGCAGGCAACUUCAUCUCAUCAUAAAUUCGUUAGACUCACAGAAUUCCUCCUCUGCUCAAUAACCUACAACGGUUCCACAGAACCUGAGAUGGGCCUCUGGGUCCCUCCCUCCCCCUUUUAACUGCAUCCAGUCUCACAGCAUACAACACCAUAAACUCUAAAGCCUUCAGAGGCAGGUAAAGCUCCGAGCAUCCCGGGCCGAGUCACUCCUAUAGGGGAUAAACACCACAGAUGUUUUUGCUAGGAGGGCUGAAGGGUUCUGGGGGCCUAUAGGGAGAGGACCUGCUUUCCAGCAUGGAUUGCAGUGCCAUCUCCCGACACUAGACUGAAGGCUCGCACAUGAGCACCCGCUUUUCUUGUUCCCUGCUGUGUGACCCUGCCAGAGCCUCUUGCCCUCCUUGCUGCAUGGUCCACGUGGCUGCUGGAUACAGAUAGAAGGGAUUCAAAAGC